AGCAGCCGCGGUAAUUCCAGCUCCAAUAGCGUAUAUUAAAGUUGUUGCAGUUAAAAAGCUCGUAGUUGAAUUUCGGGAUUGACACAUCGGUCGUGCCUUAAGGGGUAUGAACUGGUGUAGUCAAUUUCUCACCUUCUGGAGAACCGCGAUGCCCUUAAUUGGGCGUCACGGGGAACCAGGACCUUUACUUUGAAAAAAUUAGAGUGUUUAAAGCAGGCAUUUUGCUUGAAUACAUUAGCAUGGAAUAAUAAAAUAGGACGGCAUGAUUCUAUUUUGUUGGUUUCUAGGAUCACCGUAAUGAUUAAUAGGGAUAGUUGGGGGCAUUAGUAUUCAAUUGUCAGAGGUGAAAUUCUUGGAUUUAUUGAAGACUAACUACUGCGAAAGCAUUUGCCAAGGAUGUUUUCAUUAAUCAAGAACGAAAGUUAGGGGAUCGAAGACGAUCAGAUACCGUCGUAGUCUUAACCAUAAACUAUGCCGACUAGGAAUCAGACGAUGUUAAUUUUUUAAUGACUCGUUUGGCACCUUACG
rnacentral:rRNA from 1 species